CGGUUGACCUCGGAUCAGGUAGGGAU
rnacentral:rRNA from 1 species